rnacentral:rRNA from 1 species
CCUACGGGAGGCAGCAGUAAGGAAUAUUGGUCAAUGGAGGCAACUCUGAACCAGCCAUGCCGCGUGCAGGAAGAAGGCCCUAUGGGUCGUAAACUGCUUUUGUACCAGAGAAAACCCGAGUACGUGUACUCGGUUGAUAGUAUGGUAAGAAUAAGCAUCGGCUAACUUCGUGCCAGCAGCCGCGGUAAGACGAAGGAUGCAAGCGUUAUCCGGAUUCAUUGGGUUUAAAGGGUGCGUAGGCGGACUGAUAAGUCAGUGGUGAAAUCUCUCGGCUUAACCGAGAAACUGCCAUUGAUACUGUUAGUCUAGAGUAUAGAUGACGUUGGCGGAAUAUGACAUGUAGUGGUGAAAUACUUAGAUAUGUCAUAGAACACCGAUUGCGAAGGCAGCUAACGAAACUAUAACUGACGCUGAGGCACGAAAGUGCGGGGAUCAAACAGGAUUAGAUACCCUGGUAGUCCGCACCGUAAACGAUGAUUACUCGUUGUUGGCAAAUUAUGACCGUCAGCGACCGAACGACGAACGACGAGUAAGUAAUACCACCGUACGGGUAGGUACGGCCGGCCGACCGGUACGUAACGUUAAACGGUAAAGUUAGUACGGACGUGAGACGUACGACCGACGGACGACGACGAGGGAGGAGGAG